rnacentral:rRNA from 1 species
UACAGAGGUCCCAACCGUUGUUCGGAUUCAUUGGGCGUAAAGGGUGCGUAGGCGGCCGGUUGCGUCUGCUGUGAAAUCCCGGGGCUUAACCCCGGGCGUGCAGUGGAUACGGGCCGGCUGGAGGCAGGCAGGGGAGAAUGGAAUUCCCGGUGUAGCGGUGAAAUGCGCAGAUAUCGGGAGGAACACCGGUGGCGAAGGCGGUUCUCUGGGCCUGUACUGACGCUGAGGAGCGAAAGCGUGAGGAGCAAACAGG